ACUACGGGAGGCAGCAGUGAGGAAGAUUGGUCAAUGGGCGAGAGCCUGAACCAGCCAAGUAGCGUGAAGGAGGACGGCCCUACGGGUUGUAAAAUUCUGUUAUAAAGGAAUAAAGUGAGGCACGUGUGCCUUUUUGUAUGUACUUUAUGAAUAAGGAUCGGCUAACUCCGUGCCAGCAGCCGCGGUAAUACGGAGGAUCCGAGCGUUAUCCGGAUUUAUUGGGUUUAAAGGGAGCGUAGAUGGGUUGUUAAGUCAGUUGUGAAAGUUUGCGGCUCAACCGUAAAAUUGCACUUGAUACUGGCAGCCUUGAGUACAGUUGAGGUAGGCGGACUUCGUGGUGUAGCGGUGAAAUGCUUAGAUAUCACGAAGAACUCCGAUUGCGAAGGCAGCUUACUAGACUGCCACUGACAUUGAUGCUCGAAAGUGUGGGUAUCAAACAGGAUUAGAUACCCUGGUAGUC
rnacentral:rRNA from 1 species